CCAGGAAAGUGAGGGCUUGCUGAUGCCUGGAGGUGGAUUCUGAUGGUGAGAGCAUGGAGUUAGGGACAUCUGACUGCAUGGCCUUGCAAGUAACACAAGUCAUUGAAGAAUCGUAUGAUGCUAAGAGCCAGGUAACUGUGCAUCUGGAAAAUAAAACAAAAUCACACAAGCUUCCCAGUGGGUCCCCAUUCUCUCUACUGGGCCUCCCCUUCCUGUUCCCCAGGGUCACCCUCCUGCGAAAGCCGCAGCUCAUCAACUUUUGCCUCAGGCUCCGUUUCUGCUGGAACCUAGGAUCAGUAGUCUGCCUGGCAGGGGAAAAGGCACUUUUUUUCCAGAACAUUUUCCUAUUUUUUAUAGCCAUUUCUUGUCAUUUUUAAGGCCCCUCCCUCCCCCUUUGGGCAUGGAAUCUCAUUCCCAAAAUAAUUGCUUUUGCAUUUUAUUUUGGAUAAUUCACUGAGUGGAAAAUCAAAGAUACAAUGUUUAGGCAACACAUUAGUAUUCAUGGAGUGCUUUUUUAUGCUUCUCAUUACUGAAUACAUUUUCUGCUGAAAAUCUUCCAUCGUGCUCCCCAAAGAUGGCAUUAUUUUGAAGCUACAGUGAGUAGAGAUAAAGAAUUGAAAAAAGCGUGUCGAGCUGGUUUGUGCAUCCCUGCUUCCUUCCCACCCUUGGUCUCUCAGAUCCCUUCCAAAUACCUAAGAAACUUAAGGACAUAUUAUUUGAAGAGAAAUGUAGUUGCUCUCCUUAGACUUAAAGGAUUUCACAGAAAACCGGUAUGUGCAAAAACAAAAACAAAAACAGAAACGCAGUUGUUCCCUCUGACAGGUUAACUUUGUCAAAGUGUGAUGUGUGUGUAACUUUCACGCCCAGGUAUGGGGGACAGGACUCAGCCAUUCUGACUGAUGUGGGCUUAUCGUCGAUGGGCAGGUGGUGUGGGAGGCUUAAAACACCAUCAAUGAGAUGUGACCCAUAGCCAACCAUUUCAUCUCCGGGCCUCAGGUUCUUUAACUUGUAAAGUGGGAAGGGAGGAAGCGUGUGGAUAGCUUUUAAGGUGCUUUCCAGUAGGAAUAAACUGUAAUUCAAACACUGGUCCUCUGAGUGGAGAUAAGCAGUUGUUCCCAUUUAGGCAUAACUAGAUCUUCAAUUCACAGCUUUUCUUGGAGAGUAGAUUUGCUAAGACCAGCGGGGACAUUGUUACUCUCUAACUCGGUCGAAGGAGCCUGUUUAGCCCAAGGGGGUCCUCUUCCUGGGGAUGAGGUGUGUCCCAGUUAAUAAAGACUGCAGAGCUUGCUGCUUGGACUAGUAACAGAGGAGAAUCACAGCCAGACCCCAGAAGAGUUGUAACUUGAGAAGGAGGGCAUUUCAUCCUGGGAGCCUUGACAGGACAUGCUGGAGCUAAAAGAAUAGAUCCCAGGUCGCUUCACCAUUGGAGGGCAUCUGGGUUCUUGGCACCCAGGCAAGAAGCAUGGCACUGAAUGUGGACAGGAAAGUCACACCCCUACCUGGACACCCCAGAAGCCUUCUGAGGACAGAAGAGAGGAGGGAUGAGGUGGCUCUCUGAAACCCUGAACCUUUAAAAAAAAGUGCUCUUAAUUAUUUAAUUGAACUAAAUUUAAGACCCUCUUGACACUUAACUUUCUCUUCUCUGCUUGCCAUCAGACUGCCAUCAGAUGAGGCCUGUUCUUGAAGACACCAUUAGCUAUAGACCAAACCAAGAAAUUGCUGUUCUUGGUGCAUUUGAGUUGUGCUGUAAUUUUGUGAGCUCCAAACAUGAGGAAACCCACCAUACAUAAAAGAGGUAAUGACAGGUGGUCUGCAAAAAGCAGAGAUGAAUAGCUUUGACCUUGUCCCUACUAGACUCUGCAGUGCCUGAGGGCACCUCUGAAGGUCAAAGAUUUAAAAGCACUGGUAGGUAUUACGGAAUUUGUGGACCCAUGGCCCCUGGUCUCAGUCCUUAGUCUCCUAGUUAGUACCACGAUGGCCGCAGGCAUGUGACCCAACCUCUCUGGCAGGACUGUUAUGCAGCUUAUAUGAGAGGAUGAAUGCAUUUAGAGCACAAGCAGAGCGCUGCGCACAUGCAUACAUAAGGGGGUGGUGACAGCAUCCCAUUGCAAAUCAUGGGAAACGCCAUGGUUGGUGCUUCCGCAAAUUACAUUUUAUUCACCUUGGGACCUCACCAGCUCCUAGCUGAUAUAACCAAAGGCCUAAAACUAUGGGAAAAUCAAUUUAUUCUUGGUAAAAACAAACAGACAAUCAACAACAAAAAAAAACCUCAGCAUUUUGUCCUCAAAAAGAAGUUUUCAUUUCAAAAAGAAAAAUGAAUCCCACUAUGUUAAAUUUACCAUGAGCAAAUAAUAUUCCUGUAGCCUAAGCAAAUGGCAAGGUUUGAAAAUAAUUUCCCUGUCACUUCAUUUUAUGCUUUAUCACUUUGCAGUAGUGAAGGAAAUGGUUUCAAUGGUGACACCAGCAUUGAAAUCUGAUUUCUUAGCAGAAUUGCUCUCACACUUUCGUUGCAAAUUUCUCAAGAGAUUCUCAGCCUACCAGGAAACAAUGCUCAGUUCUCAGGCACGGUGGAGAUAUCUAGGUAGGUGAACAGUUGCAUUUCCAAGUAAUUUACUAGCACUCAAGAGGGUAGCAUGCGCUGGGGGAUAGCACCCCAGAGUGUCACAGAAGUCUUGGUCUGGCUCUUCUAUUAAUAAGUGGCCUUCUUGGAACAAGGUUCAUUCUCCUCAUUUAUAAAUAGAUUGUAGCAUCAACUUCUCAGGCAUUUGUGGUUUUUCAGUACCACAGCUAAUAUUUAAGAAAGGAAAUUAUAAACUGUAAAAUUUUAUUAACUUUUGUUGCAUAGGUGAUAGUCAUUAACAUACCACCUAUGGCACUCAGUUCCCAACACUAUUGCUCGUUAGUAUCUGCAGUGAAGUUCUCUGUGAGUUCAUAUGUCCCAGGGCCCUUGCCACCACUUAUGGUUCAUGUAAAAUUAUAAGGAUCAAGUGGGCAACCAUCACUGCACAUGCCUGAGCCGCCCCACUUUAAAACAAGUGCAAGGAGAGGGGGUUUUGGCUUUGGAGAGAGAAGGGGCUCUGCACUACCUGCAGAGCACUGUUCUCUGCAGAUGGCCUAGAGACAUGUUAUCUAAUGCUGUAACUAGGCAGAGGAUGCCUUUACUAAACUUAGUUUAUGUAUUGAAAGCUAAGGGGGACAGACCACGUUUCAUCCAUCGCUCUAUUUGCCAACAGAGUUCCUAGCACAGAAUAGGUAUCAAAAAUAAAGGCCAACCAGGAGUUCCUGUUGUGGCUCAGAGGAAGAACCUGACUAGUAUCCAUGAGGACGCAGGUUCGAUCCCUGGCCUCACUCAGUGGGUUAAAGAUCCAACGUUGCCGUGAGCUGUGAUGUAGGUUGCAGAUGGAUGUGGCUCGAUUCGGCGUUGCUGUGGCUGUGGCGAAGGCCAACAGCUGCAGCCUCAAUUCAACCCCUAGCCUGGGAACUUCCACAUGCCACCAUGUAGCCCUAAAAAAAUAAUAAAUAAAUAAAUAAAUAAAUAAAUAAAUAAAUAAAUGCCAAACAAAUAAAUAAAAGAAGUCCAGAAAGUUUAUAGCAUUUCAAAUUUCCAUUAACCACUACACCGGACCAGGUGUGUACAUCUUUCUUAAAUAGCCCACUUCUUUGUGUGUACUUUUCUCAGUGUCCCAAACACAGACUUUGGAUUUGUCCAGUAACCCUUGGAGGAGACAAGAUCUGCUCCAGGUGCAUCUCUGCCAUAACACGUUGUAAUCGAGAUUGAAACUCUAUGUUUAAUUUUGUUACCAGUCCAUAAUUGCUCACUUAAAAAGGAUCUGUUUUCUUUUUCUGAGUAGCACCUUGCAAAACAUUUUACUAUUUUCCCCAUAAUAAAAGACUUCACAUUAACAAAAAAAGGCCAAGUCUUAUCUUUUAUCCAUGCCACCAGAGUCCACAUGGCCACCUCACCUGGCAAGGGAUGGACUGUAUGAGCAUGUUAGUGCUGGACCACCGGCUUGGACCAGCCCUCCGCUCACUGAGGUGAGGCUUCUUAGCCUAUGCACAGUCUCCCCUCUACGUGGGGAUGCACGGUGAAGGAUGAGUGUGUAGUUCUCUCAGGAAAGUUGACCUAAAAAUGAUAAAAAACGUGGUUGGUGCCACAAUUAAUAAAUUGAUUGAACAUCUAUUCGGAAAAUCAUGGGGAAAGAGUGUAAGAGAAAGAACAAGAGACAGAGCAAACCAAACCAUCUCUUUAAACUUACUGAGUUACUAGAGACAACAUGCUUUUAGGAUUGUGUUAGUAGUUGUUUGUUUGCAGACUUCCUUUCAUACUUAGCUUCUUUUCUCCUGCAAUUUUCUUUUUCUUUCCUUUGUUUCUUUGGAGAAGUAGGGAAUGAAAUUGGGGACAGGUGUAUUGGGAUUUCCUGCCCCAGUGCCUUUCCAGGGAAAGUCGAAGAGGAUGAAGGGCAGGCUGAUCUACAAACCAGAAGGAGGCUUUCCUGAAUUCAGGAUGCACAUGGACCUGGGGAGGAGGCAAUGGGAGAUCUCUGGCUCCACUCAAAGACCUGGGCUUAAAUAGUGAGCCCUCUUGUCUGUUUCACAAAACUUCUUUCCCCACUCCCUGCGAGAAAAGAAGGGGAGAGGGUAUAGUCAAAGUUGGUUGGUUAAGGUCAAGAAUAGCUUUAUUUAGGGUGAUGGAAAGGUAUGGCCCUGAAUCUGACAUGCUUGGACUCAGAAGUCUUAUCAGGUGAUCUUAUCUUUGCUUUUGUGAGUUUCUAGCCUCUUGGAAUAAAUACCAUCAACCUAUUAACAAGUGGAAAAUUCUCUAGAGGCAUUGGGGCUCUUUGACAUCUUCAUGUCGAAACUUUGCUUGGUUCACUAUGUUUCUACCCAAUGCUCAACACUGAAGAAAUCAUAAGUCUCUUGACUUGGAUGACAUGAUGAUACUCAAAUUGCAAAAGGAGACUAUAAACUGCCUCUGUGAUGAAAGGAUACAUAGGAUGUCACUGGGUGGUAAAUAGUUCAAAAACUAAAGGGAAGAGAACCGUAAGCCGAAGUAAUUUGCCAUAGCACCUGACCACAAAUUCUUGAUCUUCUGGCUCCCUCUAUUUCUAGCUGGUUCUCCCUCUGCCUGCAUGUAUCAACUUCCCCUAUUAGGCUAUCAGAUUCUUAAGAAUAAGGACCAUGCCUGAAGCUGUAUCAUGUAUGUGUCUGUAAACUUUUGUAGUUGGGCCCCCUGAUUAGACUCUCAGCUCUAAAGGGACUUGGACUUCAUGACUGCAUCUCCAGGACCAGCCACCUAGCUACGCUCAUUAAUAUUUUCAAAUGAAUAAAUUGAUGCAUUUAUGUCUUUGGUUAUUGCAGGGUGCCUCAGUAAAUGUUAAACCAAACUUGGAGACAAUUUUCACUCCUUUGCAUGAUCUGUCUCCAGUCUGUGAACCAGCGAAUAAGGCUCUCUGCUGAAGGACAAAGGCUAAGGUGCCAGUCACUGUAUGGAGCAGAUCAGAAUGAAGUGUCUCCAAGGCCUUCAUGCUGUCAAUUUUUUAAAACGUGCUUUGACAUCUUCAGGCCUCUUUUCAUUUUACACAGCAAAUUUAUGUUAGAUACGGCCACCGACUUCUUUUAAAUUAAUUUCCUUUUCACACAGAUGGCUCUCUCACUUAUGUAAUCAGGAGUCAGGAAGCCAUAGUUCAGGCAAAUUACUUCUCUCUGCUCAUCAAAAAGAAAUAAUAUCCACCACAACAAAAUAACUACCAGGUUGGUUCUGUGCUUCUCUCCUAUAUUUCUUUGAAAUACAUAGUAUGCAGCAAUAGCAAUUAGGAGGUCAGGUGGAUUUCCCACUAAAUCGUCUACUAAGGAGAAGUCACUCUUGGAUAUUAUUUUCAAUGAGACCCCAGUAGGUUUCAGGUAUUUUUUCAAAGUCUGGUUCAAUACAUGAUAAGAAAAAAAAGUUUAUAAAACCUGUGAUAUCUCUUAGUAAACUUUAUCAGUUUGCAUCUGAUUGAUUUGCUUUAUCUACAAUUUGAAAUGACCUGUUGAGGGAGUUCCCAUCGUGGCACAGUUGGAAACGAAUCCAACUAGGUACCAUGAGGUUGUGGGUUUGAGCCCUGGCUUAGCUCAAUGGGUUAAGGAUCCUGUGUUGCCAUGAGCUGUGGUGUAGGUCGCAGACACGGCUUGGAUUCUGUGUUGCUGUGGCUCUGGCAUAGGCCAGCAGCUACGGCUCUGAUUUGACCCCUAGCCUGGGAACCUCCAUAUGC
rnacentral:lncRNA from 1 species